rnacentral:rRNA from 1 species
CAGUCGCCGCGGUAGUACGAAGGGGGCUAGCGUUGUUCGGAUUUACUGGGCGUAAAGCGCACGUAGGCGGACUUUUAAGUCAGGGGUGAAAUCCCGGGGCUCAACCCCGGAACUGCCUUUGAUACUGGGAGUCUUGAGUUCGAGAGAGGUGAGUGGAAUUGCGAGUGUAGAGGUGAAAUUCGUAGAUAUUCGCAAGAACACCGGUGGCGAAGGCGGCUCACUGGUCCGGAACUGACGCUGAGGCACGACAGCGUGGGAGCAACCAGGAUUAGAGACCCCAGUAGUCCCUGUCUCUUAUACA